GAACAGAUCUUCAUCCUGUUCACAUUGCCCUGAGGGUCUUCUUCAAUUCACAGCAUUUAUAUACUGAUUGUGUAAGAAGCCACCCCUACCUGCAGUUUACAAGAUGCAUUCAAAUCUCUGCAACUUAUAAGAUUUUGUACAGAGUCCCUGUGGCAUCUGGCUUCCAAGCUGGGAACAUAUAAACACAAUCAAGGUCAGCAGGGUAGACAGGUGGAGAGCCCCCCACAUAGUCAAGCAGGUGGUGCCCUGCACAAAGGAACCUGGCAUGGUGUGAGUGGGCUGCAGUCCUGCCAGGGCUCCAAUUGGCAAGUCAUAUUCUGACUCUGGAGGAAGAGGCACAUUUUUCAAACAUUCACAAUGUUUGCUACUGGAAGCCCUGGACUAAUGUACAGACUUAGGACUUAUUUAAUACAAGGACUAUAAUAGAAGCAAAUAUGAAUAGCUAAGUGAAGUUAGCCAAUCCCAAAACCCAAAUGCUGAAUGUUUUCUCUGAUAUAAGGAGGCUGAUUCAUAGUGGGUUUGGGAGGGGGAGAAUGGGAG
rnacentral:lncRNA from 1 species